AACGAACGCUGGCGGCAGGCUUAACACAUGCAAGUCGAGCGCCCCGCAAGGGGAGCGGCAGACGGGUGAGUAACGCGUGGGAAUCUACCCAUCUCUACGGAAUAACGCAUGGAAACGUGUGCUAAUACCGUAUACGUCCUUCGGGAGAAAGAUUUAUCGGAGAUGGAUGAGCCCGCGUUGGAUUAGCUAGUUGGUGGGGUAAAGGCCUACCAAGGCGACGAUCCAUAGCUGGUCUGAGAGGAUGAUCAGCCACACUGGGACUGAGACACGGCCCAGACUCCUACGGGAGGCAGCAGUGGGGAAUAUUGGACAAUGGGCGCAAGCCUGAGCCAGCCAUGCCGCGUGAGUGAUGAAGGCCCUAGGGCUGUAAGGCUCUUUCACCGGUGAAGAUAAUGACGGUAACCGGAGAAGAAGCCCCGGCUAACUUCGUGCCAGCCGCCGCCGUAAAAC
rnacentral:rRNA from 1 species